CAGAGCUGGAAGAGUGUUGAUUUUCCUCUGCGCUUGUUCGGGAGUGUGCCGCCUCCAUGAUGUAUGAGCCUGCUUCCUGAGCACUACAGUUACGUGUACCUACUAAGUCGGUGUACCUACUAUAAGAAACAGUGGUGACCUCUGUAGGACCGAUAAGGUGGCUGAAGACUGGUUCCUUAGGUGCAGGACUCUCUACUUUGAAAGACAAUGGUUCUUUCCAUCAAUGACCCAUCAAGGAUGGAGAAGGACAGAGACCACAUGGCUGGAAGGAUAUUAGACCUUACCCUGGAGAUCAUCUCCUUGAUAACUGGAGAGGAUUACACAGUAGUGAAGAAGUCGUCUGGUGAGUGUGUGACACCC